rnacentral:rRNA from 1 species
ACUCAAUAGAUACCCGGGUAGUCCGCACAGUAAACGAUGAUAACCCAGUUGUUUGCGAUAUACAGUAAAGCGACCAAAGCGAAAAAGCGAUAAGUUAUCCACCUGGGGAGUACGCCCGCAAGGGUGAAACUCAAAAGGAAUUGACGGGGGCCCGCGACAAGCGGAGGAGCAUGUGGUUUAAAUUCGAUUGAUACGCGAGGAACCUUACCAGGGCUUGAAAGUUAAGGAAUGAUUAUGAAAGUAGUCAGUCAGCAAUGACCUAAAACUAGGUGCUGCAUGGCUGUCGUCAGCUCGUGCCGUGAGGUGUUGGGUUAAGUCCCCGCAACGAGCGCAAACCCCUACUUCUAGUUGUCUACCAUUAAGUUGAGGACUCUAGAGGAACUGCCCGUCGCAAACGGUAGAGGAAGGUAGGGGGAGUGACGGUCAAGUCAUACACGGCCCUUACGUCCUGGGCGUACACACGUGCUACAAUAGGUGGGCCUACAAGAGGGCGAGCUACACAGUGAUGUGAUGCAAAUCUCGAAAAGACCGUCUCAGUUCGGAUUGAAGUCU